GUUCAGCUGAUGAGUUCCAAAUAGGACGAAACGUGCGUCUCGGAU
rfam:Schistosoma margrebowiei strain Zambia genome assembly, scaffold: SMRZ_contig0000288